UACAGAGGUCUCAAGCGUUGUUCGGAUUCAUUGGGCGUAAAGGGUGCGUAGGUGGCGCCAUACGUCAGGUGUGAAAUCUCGGGGCUCAACUCCGAAACUGCACUUGAUACUGUGGUGUUCGAGUACUGGAGAGGAGAUUGGAAUUUACGGUGUAGCAGUGAAAUGCGUAGAUAUCGUAAGGAAGACCAGUGGCGAAGGCGAAUCUCUGGACAGUUACUGACACUGAGGCACGAAGGCCAGGGGAGCAAACGGG
rnacentral:rRNA from 1 species